rnacentral:rRNA from 1 species
GACGAACGUUGGCGGCGUGCUUAAUACAUGCAAGUCCACUGAAGCAGUGGUAGCAAUAUCGCUGUGGAGGUGGCGCACGGGUGAGUAACACGUAGGUAAUCUGCCUUCAGGUCUGGCAUAACUCCGGGAAACCGGGGCUAAUAGCAGAUGAUGCAGCGGCUCGACAUCGAGACAGUUGUUAAAGCUAUGGCGCCUGAAGAUGAGCCUGCGUCUGAUUAGCUAGUUGGCGGGGUAACGGCCCACCAAGGCAACGAUCAGUAGCUGGUCUGAGAGGAUGAUCAGCCACACUGGAACGGAGACACGGUCCAGACUCCUACGGGAAGCAGCAGUAAGGAAUAUUGCUCAAUGGGAGAAAUCCUGAAGCAGCAACGCCGCGUGAGGGACGAAGGGCUUUUGCUUGUAAACCUCUGUAGUGAGAGAAAAAAAUCCCAAUCUUUGGGACAUGAUGGUAUCUCAAAAGUAAGCCCCGGCUAACUACGUG